ensembl:lncRNA
CAUCCACUCACCACUCCCCAGGCAAGGUAGGGCCCUCAACGGGGGCUCUGCAAAGUCCACCAAAUCUUCCUGUGCUUGGCCUGGGCCCUCCCCCAUGUGUCCAGGGCCAGAGUGCAUCCCUUCACGUGGGAUGGGCUCUCAAAGUCCCUUCUUACACCAGGGAAAAAUACUAAUCCACUACCAGAACCUCCCUGGAGUGCAGAGGCCUCCUUAUUGACAUCCAUGUUCAGGGGUCUGGAUCAGUCUUGUACUGGCCUCCCAGACAGCAUCUGGGGUCGAUGUGCUCACCCUUGUUCAGGUCAGCUGAUUCUGUGGCUUUCUUCGAUCUUCAUUCCUCCCUCUCUUUAACUAAAUUCAAGAUUUCCUCUCAGUGUAUAUCUGCGGAUGUCUGUCUCUGCUUCCAUCAGCCACUGGAUGAGGGCUCUAGGAUGGCAUAAAGAGUAGUCAUCAAUCUCAUUUUAGGGGAAAGGCUUUUAGGUUAUCCUCUCCACCAUUGCCUGGAUUGUCAGAUCGUGUCAUCCUUGUAGGUCUCUGGAGAUCUCCCUAGUUCCAGAUCGCUUUUCGAACCUAUAGUGGCUCCCUCUAAUAUGGUAUCUCUCAUCCUGCUCUCUCUCCUCUAUUCCUCCCCCAACUCAAUAUUUCUGCUCCUCCAUUUUCUCUCCUCUGCUCCUCUUCUCCUGCUCUUAUUGUAGCAGCUCCCUCCACCCUACCCUGAUGCUCCCAAUUAGCUCAGGAGUUUAUGCCACUUCCCAUUCCUGGGGUCCAUUGAUCACUUAGAGUCCUUCAUGAUUUCUAGUUUCUUUGGUGAAGAGGAUUAUAGACUGGUAAUUCUUUGCUCUAUGUCUAAAAUUCAUAUAUGAGUGAGUACAUACCAUGUUUGUCUUUUUGUGACUUUGUUACCUCACUCAGGAUGGUUUCUUCUAGUUCCAUCCAUUUGCCUGCGAAUUUCAAGAUUCCAUUGCUUUUUUCUGCUGAGUAGUACCCCAUUGUGUAAAUGAGUUUUGGGUUUUUUUGUGGACUCUUUUCCUCCUAUUGGUUUGAAUUUCCAACUUCUAUUUGAUAGUUGUGUUUUGUCAUAUUCUAAUUUAUUUUGUUGAGUUUUCCUCUUAUCUCUCAGGAUCCUGUUAUUUUCUUGUUUUAAACAAGUUUAUUUAUUGAAAGAAUCUGAAAAUAGUAAUGACGCCUUCAUUAACAGCUAAAAAUUUUUAAAUAUCCAUAUGAAACAUUAAGACUUACAUGAAAACUCCAUGUGUUAUACAACAUUCUUGUAGCAGCUUGCUUCUAGACUUGUGAACACUUUCUUGUUAGAUGUGUUAACCAUGCUCCAGAUACUGCUCUGCUGUGGAUCACAGCAGAGGCCUCUGUGCUCACAAUCACAUAUGAACAGCACAGCUCUGGGGACAAGCUACCACAGCCAACAGCACAGAAGCCAGACCACUUAGGGCCCCAUAGGGGUUUACUUUAUUCAACAAGGCCCCAGUAGGUCCUAACUUUAACAGCAGAAGAGAGCUCAGCGUGGUCACACCUAGAGCUGCCGACCAUCCUUUUUGAGCAGCAUGAGACAGAAGCCGGGCUUCACCCCGGAAGCCAGUAGAAGACUGGGCAGUCCUCCCUUCCUACUCCUGCCAUGAGAGGUGAAGGCAAAACUGAAAGCAGACACCUAAAUGAGUAUCUAUUCCAUAAGGUGUCCCAGACUUGUGAGCUCAUAUGUGGUUGUCAUAGAAACCUGGGGUCAUUAUGGUGACCGUUUUCAAUGGCUACCCAGACAAUGUCCUGGAAAGGAGAAUUCCUGCUAUUUGUACUGAGUGAGCUUCUGGGUUCCCAGAGGAGUUUGGCUCAGUGCUUGGCUGUGGACCUCUGAUUCUGCUUCGAUUAGCUACUGAAUGAAGGCUCUCGGAUGGCAUAUAAGGUUGUCAUCAAUUUCAUUGUAGGGGAAAGACAUUAAAGGUCUCACUGUGUGUGUUCAGGGGAAUGUGAUGAACUGGGAAGAGGAAGACCAUCAUUGCAUAACUUCCACUGAUGGAGUCUGCACAGUAUAAAAGCAAAGGAUUUAAUCUCUGCAUCCCAGAAGCUGGAGCUGGUAGAGAAGAGUACAUUGUGCUGUAACAUCUGUCAGACAGAAAGGGUGACUAGAACAUGGUGACAUUAUGGUAGAACCUGAGAGAAAGCUUCGGGCUCUCCAUCCAGAGCCAGCUUGUGGAGAAGAAACAAUUGUGGUGUAGAGUCUUGUGAGCAUGUUACCUGGGCCAGAGUGACAAGAUCAUGUGGGACACAAUAGAGUCUGGGUCAUUGGCUCUGCACACAUAGCCACAGCCAGUACAACAGCAGCAUCCAAUCCCUUGUUGUUACCUUUGAGGAAGCUGGGGCUUCUAAGGAGUGUGGGUGAGGAGUUACUUAUAGACGGAAGAACCACUGAGGGGCAGCUGUGUCCCUGAAAGUCCAUCCAAACAUGGGCAAUGGCAACAAAAUCUGAAAACCUGAAGCUCAGUGAACAACUUGCUUAUAUAAUCUUGGUGAGGGGAGUGCCUUGUGCAUCUGGUCAGUUUUAAAGACUUCCAGAGACUGCUGAAUUGUUUACUUUUGAGUCUCAAGGAGCCUGACUUUAGAAUUUCCUGAGUCUUAACAAGCCCCGUUUAGAAAUUCCUGGGUCUUAAUGAGCUGUGGAGGAAUUGCUAUACAACGCCAUCAGGGCUGGCGUCCACAGGGAGUGCAGCAGGCAGCACUAUUCUUUAGAACACCCUGCUUCUACUCCACAUAGCCUGUUGUGUUUAUGAUUGCCAUAUUUAACUCAACUCGCUACAAUAUCACUUCUACAAAACAAUUCUUGUUAUUGGUUGCAGUGUGUUGUAUUAUUUUGCUUAGCUGAAAUCUGGAUUCUACUGGAAAUGAAGUAUUUAUACGUUACAUCUGACCACUCUAGGACUCUCAAGAAAAAAAAAAACUAAGAGAAGUAUUGCAAUGGGAGACCCAUGCAAAACUAGUAGAUGAGAUUAACAAUACAGACAAAACAUUGCCAUCGUUAAUGGAAACUGUUGAUUUUAUGUGUUAACUGAUUGAAUCAAGGUAAUCCAUUGUUUCUGGGGAUGUCUGUGAAGAUUUUCCUGGAAAAGAUUAGUGUUUGACUCAGUAGACAAUUGAAUAAAGGAGAUCUGCCUUCAGCAGUGUGGUCAGAAGCAUCAAGCCAACUGAAGGGCCCAGACAGAAGAAAAGCAUGGAAGAACUGUGCGCUGACACUCUACACUAGAGCCAGAAUGUUCUUAUGGAAUGGGUGAUGGUGACUCUCCAUGGAAAAUGCAGGGUGUCUGAGUAUCUAGAGAAAAGACAGGCAGUUUCAUUCCAGAAAGGCUUGUGCUGGGCUCAGCUAAUUCAGAUAAGAAAACUGACCCAGGACCUCCUUUCCUAUUGCACAAACCAACACAGAGGCCCUGUAUGCACAAAUUCACAGCUUCUCUACCAGGCUUUUACACUACCAGUGGGAAUUUUUCCACUGUAAACAUAGUGGGGCCUGCUACCACAUACCUCAGGGAAGUCUGCAGAUUCCAGAGCUUUCUGAAAUUCUUCAGAGUGCUGGAUUCUAAGCCCAUUUGUCACUUUGCAUGGGAGGAAUAAUGAAGGCUCCUACCGUGUUUGCCCCCUGCUUUUUCUUGAUCUCCUCUGCUGCCUCCUCUUGUAGAGCUGUGUGGCAAGAGAAGCUACUCAUCUUAACAGCUGUGAGGAAUGGACUCUUUCCAUUGCAAUGGCCACCUGAUCACUUACCCUCACCAUGCAGGAGCAGAAAUGGAAGGCACAUUGUGAGCACGCAGUUUCAAUUACUAAGGUGACCAUCUCGAGCAUAUGUGCAUGAAAAAUCAUGCACAAGAAUGGUCACAUGACAUAGCGACUCAUAUCAAAGCAGUCCCAGAUGACCUAACUCGAGAAGCCCCAGAAAUACUUUCCAGAAUGAAAAGUGGCCGUCUGCAUAUUAAUCUAUGGGUUCUUUGACAGCUACAUACAUGCCAACACUCAGUUGCUUUGCAUAAUACUCUCUAACCAUCCACAUAUGCCAGAAUCCUAAGGGCACUGAUCUCCCUGAGUGCAUGAGUGUGUGCCCCCCCACCCUACACCUCCCUCUGUUGACCCAACCUUGCCAAUUGACAAACUCCCUCUCGAGUCUUGCAACUCGUAUUUUGAUCACCAGAUGGCGCCUGACUAUUUUCAAAAUGCU